rnacentral:tmRNA from 1 species
CGGCUUGAAAAAGCGGCCGCGCACCGCCAUAUGGGUGUUGCCGGGUUCGCCCGGCUAUGGUGAUAAAUCGUGUCGUAUAAUAGGCGCAGCGGACCCGGGGGCAGUACCCGGCGGCUCCACCACAAAGGCCCUUUUUCGGGGCUUUCUGACGGGGCCGAACUAGGAUCGACGUGUGUUGAAAGACGAUGCUUUCACCCGGCCCGUGUAAGCCGUUAAACUGUGCAAAACUCACAAGUGCCAACGAUAACGAAGCACUCGCCAUUGCAGCGUAAUUGAGGGCCUCACGGCCUGAUAUUACUCUAAAAUAGCGCGGUUGAACCCACCGGGCAACAGAAGGGAAUUCA